CGGGGAGCACCACAAGAGGUGGAGGCUGCGGUUCAAUUGGACUCAACGCCGGAAAACUCACCAGAUAAGACAGCUGAAUGAUAGUCGGGCUGAAGACUCUACUUGACUAGCUGGGAGGAGGUGCAUGGCCGUCGUCAGUUCGUACUGUGAAGCAUCCUGUUAAGUCAGGCAACGAGCGAGACCCACGCCAACAGUUGCCAGCUCGUCCUCCGGGAUGGUGGGGACACUGUUGGGACCGCCUCUGCUAAAGAGGAGGAAGGAAUGGGCAACGGUAGGUCAGCAUGCCCCGAAUUAUCUGGGCUACACGCGGGCUACAAUGGGUGGGACAAUGGGUAUCGACACCGAAAGGUGAAGGCAAUCUCCUAAACCCAUCCGUAGUUCGGAUUGUGGGCUGCAACUCGCCCACAUGAAGCUGGAAUCUGUAGUAAUCGUGUCUCAAAAUGGCACGGUGAAUAUGUCCCUGCUCCUU
rnacentral:rRNA from 1 species